CAAUAGCGUAUAUUAAAGUUGUUGCGGUUAAAACGCUCGUAGUUGGAUUUCUGUUGAGGGCAGCCGGUCCGCACUUCGUGCGUGUAUCUGGUUUGACCUCGGCAUCCUCUCAAAAUACGUUUCUGCGCUUGAUUGCGUGGAGCGGAGUUUGAGACUUUUACUUUGAGGAAAUUAGAGUGUUCACGGCAGGCAAUCGCCUUGAAUAUAUUAGCAUGGAAUAAUAAUAUAGGAUCUUGGUUCUAUUUUGUUGGUUUCUAGAGCUAAGAUAAUGAUUAAUAGGGACAAUUGGGGGCAUUCGUAUUAACGCGUCAGAGGUGGAAUUCUCGGAUUGCGUUACGACGAACUACUGCGAAAGCAUUUGCCAAGGAUGUUUUCAUUGA
rnacentral:rRNA from 1 species